rnacentral:lncRNA from 1 species
AUGAGUGAGAAGGGCAGCGGUCGUGAGACUGUAAAACUCCAUUUGCAAAAAUCUGCUACGUCAGGAGUGCUCGGAGCAGGAGGAGUUCGUCGCGUCGGCCUCGUCUGCGCUAGUGGUAACACCCAGGACCUGCCUCCGGCCCCUGGAGCCGCCCCGCCGGCCGCAGGGAAGGGACACGGGGGCCCCGGCCCCCCCGGCCGCCUAAAGUGCAGGGACGUCAUGGCGAGCGCUCGGGGAGGGAGGCGGCGCUCCCGGGAUCUGCUGCUCCGAGGAGGAUCCGCUGCUCGGAGGAGGAUCGGGCACUCAGAGGAUCCAGCUUUCGGAGGAUGCCAUUCUUGGAGGACCCAGCUGUCAGCGAAUCCAGCUCUGGGAGCGCGUGGCUCUUGGAGGAGGAUGCAGCGCUCUCCCCAGCGAUGCUGUCCCAGCCCGUGGCUGGGCUGCCCCGUGUCUGGAGCCGCUCUCACCGCUACUCUGAGGCCAGAGCCCCGGGGUGGGAUGGGGCUGCAGGCCGUGCCGUGCCGUGCUCCUCCGUGGCCGUCCCGCCCGCAUCUGGCUGCUCCCGCCAACGCCCAACCCCGGCAACGCUGGCUCUACCGGCUCCGCGAGGAUGAGGAGGGCGAGGAGGGCGAGGGCCUCGCCCUGCAAGAACAGUUGGGAGCAUCCACGGAGCCCACACUGGGAAUACCUGCUGAGCUCCCUGGUGCACCACCCUGCCUACCCACAGUGCUCCCUCAGCUGCUCUUUUAAAAUCUUUUCCAGUUUUUUGCGAUCUUUUUCCCACAUUUUGCUUUUUUUAUGAGGCCAGUGAGGGUCUGGGUUGGUUUUGUCACCAACAUGAGGAGCAAUGGCGUGGCCCCCCAAACCAGCCCCCACUGCCCCCAAAUCGCCUGGAAACACGGCAGGAGAAUCCAAAUUUUCUUUUGUAUUUUUUAGGGCAAAAAGAACUGAAGCUGUUGGAACUUGCCCUGGAAGCACCACCCGCUCCAGACCCAGCCAUUUGGGGCAUUUUCCAGUGGGUUUUGGGGCGCUGUACAAGACUUCCAAUAUUCUGUCUGUACAGCCAUCAUCGCGUUCUCCAUCAGCCCCUCUGGGGCAGCAGAGCUGGAAGUACCAGGAAUUCAGGAUAUUUUCCCCCCUAUUUGUGGUUUAAAAAUAAAAAUUAAAAAAAGAGAAAAAAGCA